AUGAAUUGUGGGUGAAGUGUGGGUGUGCGACGCUGGGAACGAUCAGGAAGGGUAAACCCCUUUUUCUUCUCUAGUUCCUCAAAUCUCUAACAAAUUGAAGGUGUUUCUGGGCAUAAAUCGAAUGCAUGUGACCAAAUUUUCAACCAUCUAAGGGUUUCCUACAUAGGUAGUGAAAGAAGAAGGAGCUAAUUCCGGUUCGCAACAAAAGGCUCAAGAACGAGGUAAAUCCUUGACUUCAUAGCUUGGCGACUCGGAACGAACACACUCGAUAUCACGCCCAUCUAGCGCUUCCGAAGAUGUCACAUUAGUAUGGUCUUAGUUUUGGUCAUAUGUAUUUUAACAUAUGUAAUCUUUUUGGUGUCCUUGUGAAUUGGGUAAAAAAUUGGUUAGUAAGUAGCUAUUGUAUUAAAACAACUUAAACAUGUUGGUUUUGCUUUAGUUUAUGAAAAUGGGUCUUUUAAGUUAA